rnacentral:rRNA from 1 species
AGUGAACGCUGGCGGUAGGCCUAACACAUGCGAGUCGAACGGCAGCACAGUAAGAGCUUGCUCUUACGGGUGGCGAGUGGCGGACGGGUGAGGAAUACAUCGGAAUCUACUUUUUCGUGGGGGAUAACGUAGGGAAACUUACGCUAAUACCGCAUACGACCUACGGGUGAAAGCAGGGGAUCUUCGGACCUUGCGCGAUUGAAUGAGCCGAUGUCGGAUUAGCUAGUUGGCGGGGCAAAGGCCCACCAAGGCGACGAUCCGUAGCUGGUCUGAGAGGAUGAUCAGCCACACUGGAACUGAGACACGGUCCAGACUCCUACGGGAGGCAGCAGUGGGGAAUAUUGGACAAUGGGCGCAAGCCUGAUCCAGCCAUACCGCGUGGGUGAAGAAGGCCUUCGGGUUGUAAAGCCCUUUUGUUGGGAAAGAAAAGCAGCAGGUUAAUACCCCGCUGUUCUGACGGUACCCAAAGAAUAAGCACCGGCUAACUUCGUG